AACCUUAUGGACCUGCGGGCGUAUACCUGCGGAGGGAUCAUUACUGAGUGAGGGCCUUCGGGCUCGACCUCCAACCCUUUGUGAACACAACUUGUUGCUUCGGGGGCGACCCUGCCGUUUCGACGGCGAGCGCCCCCGGAGGCCUUCAAACACUGCAUCUUUGCGUCGGAGUUUAAGUAAAUUAAACAAAACUUUUAGCAACGGAUCU
rnacentral:misc_RNA from 1 species